UACGUAGGGUGCGAGCGUUGUCCGGAAUUAUUGGGCGUAAAGGGCUCGUAGGCGGUUUGUCGCGUCGGGAGUGAAAACCUCGGGCUUAACUCGGGGCUUGCUUUCGAUACGGGCAGACUGGAGGUAUGCAGGGGAGAACGGAAUUCCUGGUGUAGCGGUGAAAUGCGCAGAUAUCAGGAGGAACACCGGUGGCGAAGGCGGUUCUCUGGGCAUGACCUGACGCUGAGGAGCGAAAGUGUGGGGAGCGAACGGG
rnacentral:rRNA from 1 species